rnacentral:rRNA from 1 species
UGUUAUAGCCGUGCCACCCUGAACGUGCCCCAUCUCGUCUGAUCUCAGAAGCUAAGCAGGGUCGGGCCCGGUUAGUACUUGGAUGGGAGACCACCUAGGAAGACCGGUUGCUGUAGGU